GAUGAAGAACGUAGCGAAAUGUGAUAAGUAAUGUGAAUUGCAGAAUUCAGUGAAUCAUCGAAUCUUUGAACGCACAUUGCGCCCGCCAGUAUUCUGGCGGGCAUGCCUGUUCGAGCGUCAUUUCAACCAUCAAGCCCCAGGCUUGUGUUGGGGACCUGCGGCUGCCGCAGGCCCUGAAAACCAGUGGCGGGCUCGCUGUCACACCGGGCGUAGUAGAUUUUAUCUCGCUCAGGGCGUGCUGCGGGUUCCGGCCGUUAAAAAGCCUUUUUUACCCAAGGUUGACCUCGGAUCAGGUAGGAAGACCCGCUGAACUUAAGCAUAUCAAUAAGCGGAGGA
rnacentral:misc_RNA from 1 species